AGUGAACGAGGGCGGUAGGCCUAACACAUGCAAGUCGAACGGCAGCACAGUAAGAGCUUGCUCUUACGGGUGGCGAGUGGCGGACGGGUGAGGAAUACAUCGGAAUCUACUUUUUCGUGGGGGAUAACGUAGGGAAACUUACGCUAAUACCGCAUACGACCUACGGGUGAAAGCAGGGGAUCUUCGGACCUUGCGCGAUUGAAUGAGCCGAUGUCGGAUUAGCUAGUUGGCGGGGUAAAGGCCCACCAAGGCGACGAUCCGUAGCUGGUCUGAGAGGAUGAUCAGCCACACUGGAACUGAGACACGGCCCAGACUCCUACGGGAGGCAGCAGUGGGGAAUAUUGGACAAUGGGCGCAAGCCUGAUCCAGCCAUACCGCGUGGGUGAAGAAGGCCUUCGGGUUGUAAAGCCCUUUUGUUGGGAAAGAAAAGCAGCAGGUUAAUACCCCGCUGUUCUGACGGUACCCAAAGAAUAAGCACCGGCUAACUUCGUG
rnacentral:rRNA from 1 species